AGAGGGAUAGCUGGGUCAAAUGGUGGUUCCAUUCCCAGAUUUCCAAGGAAUCUCCAUACUGCUUUCCAUAUUGGCUGCACCAAUUUGCAGUCCCACAAGCAAU
rnacentral:pre_miRNA from 1 species